rnacentral:rRNA from 1 species
AUUGAACGCUGGCGGCAUGCCUUACACAUGCAAGUCGAACGGCAGCACGGGGCAACCUGGUGGCGAGUGGCGAACGGGUGAGUAAUGCAUCGGAACGUACCUUUCAGUGGGGGAUAACGUAGCGAAAGUUACGCUAAUACCGCAUAUUCUGUGAGCAGGAAAGCAGGGGAUCGCAAGACCUUGCGCUGAUUGAGCGGCCGAUGUCAGAUUAGCUAGUUGGUGAGGUAAAGGCUCACCAAGGCGACGAUCUGUAGCGGGUCUGAGAGGAUGAUCCGCCAAAAUGGAACUGAGACACGGUCCAGACUCCUACGGGAGGCAGCAGUGGGAAAUUUUGGACAAUGGGGGCAACCCUGAUCCAGCCAUGCCGCGUGAGUGAAGAAGGCCUUCGGGUCGUAAAGCUCUUUCGGCCGGGAAGAAAUCGCACGGGCUAAUACCCUGUGUGGAUGACGGUACCGGAAUAAGAAGCACCGGCUAACUACGUGCCAGCCGCCGCCGUAAGAC